GGAUAGUGUCAGCCCUGCGCCUGGUGGGUUUAAGGGGACUUUGGAAGGUGAUCUGAGCUUGUGUGCGUUUGGAGUGGUAAAAGCAUUUUUUUGCUGUUAGGAGAGGCAUUGUGGGCACUCCCAACUUUUAAUUUGACACACAUGUGAAAGCCCGGCCGGGGUUAAGGGAGGGCAGAGAGAUGACCUAAUAAAAUCCUUGGGAGUUUUUGUGCUUGCCGGUCUGAGGUUCUAUUAAACAUUGAUAAUGGGAUGAGCAUGCACUGUGUUGUAUUUGAAAGGUUUGCAAAUAAGUGCUCGCUACUUAUAAAAAGAAAGCAGGAACCCUGGUUGAGGUGUCUUUCUCAGUUUGUGUUUUACGUGUGUGUGUGUGUGUGUGUGUGUGUGUGCAUCAAAUAGCAAGUCCGGCCUUUAUCUGCUAGUAAGACUGAACUGCACCCCACCACAAAAUGAAUUAAAUAGUGCAUUGUAUAUAUUUUUUCUAUUGCUGCUGCUUAGUUCUAUUCCCGGUAACCUAUAUUAUUAGUGAACUUUCCAAAAUACGGCUAUGCCUCUCACCCUCCCACACAUGCUCGCAAACAUGAAUCAUUUUCAUGCCAUCUUUUGAAAAAUUGCUACCUCAAAGUUUGACCUCAGAAUUGCUGAUUAACAUAUGUGAACGCUUUUCCGGGAGAAUACAAACUUGUAAUACGUUUGACGAGCCAGUUGAAACACAUGGGGUGCAAUGCUUUUUUUGGGGGGGGGUGACUGAGCAUUCGGUGCUUUUCGUUCUGGGUGUGGCAAGAUCAUCACGGUUUUCUGUUGCUGUGUUCACUUUUACCACUUCUGGAAUCACUUUUCAGUUUGGAUUUAUCGUUUGACCUCUCAGGAUAUGAAAUGACCAGUCUUGAGCAACAAGCGUGUAGUUAGGUAUCUGACGCUCACAAGGAUGUGUGAUGAGAACCUUUUUCGUUUCUAACCUGGGUACCACUAAUUUGGUAUACUGCAGUACUUGAGGAAUCUUUGUGCCACAUCAAGCCCUUUUUGAACAAUUGUUGUCACUUUUUCUCCUUCUCAAGGUCGAUUCAAAUUGCAUUUUACCUCUGUGACGAUUUGGUAUAUAUUGCUGCUACUACUGCUGCUGCUGCUGCUUCAGAGAAGCCUGUAGCUAGUUUGACUGCUAUACAGUAUUGUCUAUAGUUUUAACUGUUUGGAGGAAUUGGUAUGAGACACAUGGCAUUCCUCAAAACCUGGCAAGCGAAGGACAGGGAACAAUUUAUAGGGAUUUUGUUGUUGUUGUUGAAAGAACAAUAGCUUCAAGUACUUGAUGAGGCAUUCCAUGCCUUUUACUGAUGUAGUUGAAAUGAAGCCACUCUUCCUGUUCUGGAACUCCUUGUUUCUACUUUGCAAAAUACGCUUUGGGGAAAGCCUAACCUUGUGGAUGGGUCAAAAAUAAUAACAGCCAUUCAUUUGUACAGGGACAUUUUUUUUAAAAGGGCUCUCUUAAAGUAUACCUUGAGGAUGCCAAUAUUCUUUCAAAGCAUUUGGCAUUAAAAAAAAUUGGUUAGAGGCAUUAAAAUAUGGAUUAGCAAUAGAGUAUAUAACACUGUAUAAAUGAAUAUUAUUUUUAAAACAUGCUUUUUUCUUCUUUAUUGCUGUUGGAUUAGGUGGGUACAUUCAUAAAUAUAGACAUUGUUACAAGCUGUUCAGGGUUCUAGUGAAAAAACCUUAACACAGAGCGUUAGGUUUUCUUUUACUUCAUGUGUGUUAGUAGCUACACACAUGUGUUUGUUCAUGAACACACACAAACAAGAGCCAAACAAAUGUACAUAAUGGAUAUACAAUACAAUGAAUACACAUACACGUUUCUGCGGUAUCUUACUAAAGAUUUUAAAGCAGUGCAGACAGGCAAUGUCUGGCUAUCUUUUCCUUGAAGCUAUUCGUCAGAUUAUGGGACUUUAAAAAAAAAAUAGAGCAAUCAUUUCUGUCAGACUAAUAUUUUGGUAACCAAAUAACUGUAAAAGUGAUCAUUAUCACAGAAAUAGAUAAUAAUGUAUUGCCAAAUUACUUCAUCCAUACCAGGAAUAUCACUAUUAAUAUUGAGGGAACUCAACAAAAUGAUAUAAUCAGAAUGUGCACCGAUAUGAACUCCCAUUUGAAAAUCAAUACAUAGGUUAGUGGCAGUGCAGUUAUUAGAAAUUACAGAGAGCUGCAAGAUAUUAAUGUGUAACACAUGAAGCACUCAUAAUGUGGCUUGCCUUUUUCAAUACAGUAUAUCUUCGAUGUUUUCCUCCAGGUUUUUUAUUUAUUUAAUCUUCACAGUUUGAAAGCUGCCAUUAUAAACAUACUUGCAAGUGCAUAAGCCCCACUGACCACAAUGGGGCUUACUUUCAAGUAAACAUGAAUAAGGUUGCACUGCACAUUUACAGUGUAAAUGGGCACUGGCUCUGUUGUUUUUAAAGUAUUCUUAUAUGGUGCCCAGAUGAGAUGUUGACUUCAGGAUUUGUUACAAAAUUAAUGUCUGCCUUUUUCUACACACUUAAGCCAUUGUUAUCAGAUGGGUCGCCUAUCCUAGACAUUCUGCAGAAUACGGAAUGCAUGCAGUUGGGUUUGAGUUCCUGAAAUAAAAUGUUUUGUGUUAGAAUAUAAAUGUUAGGUUUGGGCAAACUCAUCCUAAUCGGAUAUAAAGAUCAUGUGUUUUUUUCAAAAAUGUCUCUCCUUUCCACACGUUAGUGAAAAUGUCAUGUAAUUUCUUCUUUCUGAUGGGGAAUUGUCCAUGCUAAUUUAGAUUGAAAUUAUAGCAGCAUUUGUAGACAAAUCUUCAUCCCCAGACUAGUUAUUUCAGGCAUGCUAUGAAUCUAAGUCCAUCCAAACACAUUUUGCUUCCAUAGUAAAAUAGAAUAUAUGGCCUUAGACUGCAAAACUAUAUUUUAAAAGGGAUUCAUGCUCAUCACACAAAAACAGGAUGAUUUACUGUAUGCUUGGAACUCAUGCUAAAAAUAUAUAUGUUAUUGCUGUGGGUUAUGUGCUGUUAACAUAAUUAAUAAAAUUAAGGGAUUGUUUCGCUCUCUAGCACAAAUCAUUGCUAACAAUGAGAAGAAAGAGGUGUCCCUUCUGUUUGGUGGCUUGUGUUUGAGAUGAAAGAAUUUGGCAUUUAUAUAUUGGAAACAAUUCUACCAAAGCUCGUUAUUGGAGUUGAAUCCGUUCUGUUUUCUUCACUUGGGAGUAACUAUUUUCAGCAGUGUGUCAAUUCAGCAGUGGUGUUUCGGUUCAGAUGGUUAUAUGUGAAUGGUUAUUGGCUUAAUAAUUUGAAGCCUGGAUGAAACAUUGGCCAUUAGUGUAGUCCUGCUCACCUGUACGUUCAGAUCAGCUGUGUUGGGUUUUCAAUUCUAGCCUAUUGUCUGCUUUGGGAAAAUUUUGAAUGUUGUCUUAAGUCACAUGGCAUUUUGUUGUGCUUUCGGAUGAAACAACUGCAACUUCAGAAAGAAGCUGUGUGCAAUACAGUGAAACAGAUGUAUAGGUUGUAAUCAUGUCAUGGGAACAAAUGUAUUGCAAAGAUGUUAUUUCAAUGACACGAAUGUGGAUAUUGUAUGCAGCAUUGAGAUUUUAUUUCUUUGGAACCCUAAGACUCUGAAAAGCAACCCCAAUAGGCACAUAAGCAGCAAAUGGAAGAUAGAGAUUGCUUUGUAUAUCACUGCUGAGAAUUUUUGUGUGGCUACUUUUGCUUAUCCCUAAAUCACCUCCAGUAGCUAUGAGUUUAUAGGAGGGAGAUCACCAGAAAUGUGUGUAGAAUUCUGAGAAAUGUAAAAGGUGUUUUUCCCAAAACAGGUUGCUUUUUUAAAAAGCAUUUUAAAGUCACUGUUUUACAUAAAAUGAACUGCCCCUUGUGCAAACUUGCAAGAGCUCCCCACUUUUAAGAACAAUAACGACCAUGCACCAUUAAAAAAAAUAUACCACAAAACUAACCACCCUCCUGCUUUCUUUCCCCCCAUCUAACUAAUCAAGUGCUCGUUUCUCAGUUUACUGCAUUUCCCCCUGUUUUGGCCAUCUGGCUUUACCAAAUGCCUUGAGGAGAGACUUCCAGAUACUAAGAUGCCUGAAAAAGCUUUUCCCCCCUCUUCUGACUGGUAGUGUUCAGCUAGUGUGUUGGUGCCUGGUGUGAAGUAGGGGUCAGGUGUAAGGAGUAUUUCAUCAACCGCACACUGAUUUCAGGCUGCAUUUCAAACCAUCUGCAGCUUGGAUAGCCGCCAGGGCUCAAAAGUCUUGCUGGAGCUUAUAGUGCCAAAGUAGAGGCAAAUGUGUGCAAAUAGAGAGAAAUGCAUUUCCAGGAAUGAAGUUGGUAUUCACUUAAGUCCUUGUUUGGGUUGAUAAAUGGUAGCAUUUCUGUCUCUCUCUCUUCUCCCCACCUCCCACCCCUCUCAAUGUCUCGCAAAGCUGCCAGAGCAGCAACCUUUUAUUAAAAUACAUGGAUAAUAAUGGAUUGACCUUUGAUUGUAGUAAAGUUUUUGGAUUAACAUCCAGCCUUGGCACAAUGCCAUCAUUUUUGAUAUGGAAUAGGAAAGCAUGAAAUUUGUUUCCCUUAGAAACUGAGAAAUGCAGACUUGUCCAACAUAAUUUUCGCAUACUUACUGGCUUAAAAUUAUUUCUGUUGAUAUCAAGGGCACGGCAUGUUUGAAUCAUGUUUUGAUGAUUCUUUCAGGUUGUUGUGCAUGAGAAGCUGCAUUUUCCCCUCGCCUCCAAACCCCAGUCAACUUUAUACUCCUAUGCCUGCCAUAGGGCUGUGCUUUAUAAAACACGCAAAUGGUUUUGCCCCCUGAAAAAAAGAUGCACGUGUACACAUUCGCCAAAUCAGGUCUUGAAGUUCAGAGGAUAAAGAUCUUGCUAAAGCAAAUACCCAGUAUUAAUAUUUGUUGAUGCAUAGCAGCAUAUUACACAUAGCAUAGUUAAAGAGUCAACAGCCGCUUUAAUUCCGAGAAUGUGCCCUGAUUUGCAUGAAAAGCAGAUGAGAAAGAGCACCUUGGGUUCACUUUGGGUCUCAUUGUAACAGGCAAUGGACAACAUUAACUUUGAAAUGAUAGGAUGUCUUCUAGUCUAGCUUUGCGUUAGUCGUACUUCUGGAAGGGAGUUUCAAGUUCAUACACAACCCCGAUCUAAGUCCAUCAUGGGAAAAUACAAGUAGUCAUUCAAAAGAGGUACACAGAGCUGUGAAUGCGCUUUAAGCUCUCUCUUGUGGCUAGUCGAUGAUGUGGCUACUGGCUGGCUGUUCCAUUCCCUCCUGUUGGUGGAACCAAGUAUCUUACGCCUCUUUUUCUAGGGUAGGAUGCUUCCAUCUCAAGCAAUAGGUGUGGGGUGCUUUUUUCCUCUAGCAAUAAACUCUAGGAGCUUUUAGCUUAUUUAUUGUCUGCUUUGUAGCAGCUCUCUAAGGCAGCUGAUGCUCUCCAGAUGUUGGUUGGACUCAGCAAGCAUGACUUGUGGUCAAGUAUGAUAGGUGUCCUAUUGCAACAUUCGCUAUGGGCACCACCUUGGCUGUAGCCCAGCUCUAGGGUCUCGCCACAAAGUUCUUUCACAUUACCUGCUACUUGAGGUGUUAGUGGAUAGAGGAAACCAAGAUCUUCUCCAUCACAAGUAUACAGAAGGUUCCAGGGAUGUUCAUGUGAACACACACAGUAGGAUGAAGAGGCAGCAGCAGUGGUGGCAAGGGGACAGGUGAGCAAAUGUACUUGGUUUCAAGUGUUACUCUGAUAUACUGCAGUCACAUACACUUAAAAAAACACAUGCGUUCAAGAUUGUGGGCCCAGUUCUGUGGAGCUCAUUUGUGGCUGAGAUCAGACGUAUCCCCUUCCUGCUGAACUUCAGGCACUUGAUGAAGCCUUUUUUUUUAAUUUCAGCAGGUAUUUAAAGAUGGGUUUUCUAAUUUUAGUUAAUUUUCUAAAUUUAGUUAAUUUAAACUGAGCGUAUCUUUUGUGACCUCAUUGUACACUACUGAGACUGCUGUGUUACUUGCGGAAGCAAGUAGAUAACUAAAUAACUAAAUACAGUGGACCCUCCGGAUACAAACUUAAUUUGUUCUGGGGGUCCGUACGUACCCUGUAAAGUCCACAUCUAGAGGCGCCACUUCUGAGCACAUGCGCGGCACAAUAGAGCGCUUCUGCACAUGCACACGUGGCAAAACCUGGAAGUAUACACUUCCGGGUUUGCCGCAUUCGCAACCCAAAAGUUACGUUACCCGAAGGUUACGUAACCUGAGGGUCCACUGUAACAGAAUUCAAUGCGUGCUCAUGGUGUGUUCAUAACCUCAUGCACAUCGGUGUUCUUUCCAAGUUAUCACAAAUUGAUACUCCAUUUCAAGCAACAACAACUGGUGUCCGCCCUGUCACACCCACCCCACCCCAUGAUGAAAACACUGCUAAUGGUUAUAGGGGUAAAUAAUAGCAAAAGUUUCGCCAGAAUUUGCUGAGUUUUUAAAAACCCUUUUUGUUUUCUAAGAGUUCUCAUAAGCUGCAGCUGUGUGCGAUUAAAUGCAGUAAUAUCAAAAGCAUGUGUGAAUUAGGGCUAUUGUAAUAUACCAAUAAGAUGCAGAUAUGGAAGAGAGACAGUUGUCCUAUUUUGGAAGAGAGACGGUUAUCCUAUAUUGUCAUUACGUCUGUGGUAGGUUUAUUUAUUUAUAUAUUCUGUCCUUAUGUUGAAGUGUGUGUGUGUGUGUGUGUGUGUGUGUGUGUGUGUGUGUAUGUAUGUAGGUUCCAAUUUCUACUUAUGUCCACCCCCCUUUCAACCUUGGGAACAAACGAGAGGGUGUCUUUUCAUUGUGAUACAUUUGAGUGGAAUGCUGAAGAGAUGAUCAGAGGGGAGAGUGAUCCAUGUGGCCUGUACAGACAAUGGCUCAUAUAUCUUCAUGCACAGGAGCAGAGUGUACUUACGCAGUUGCAUAUGAGACUUGAUCUUCCCCUCUGAGUAGAUAUUGCAGUUGGUUUGCACAGUGAUGGUCAUUUGUUGAGGGGAGAGAUGUCUGCAUCAGCCCCUCCUUGUGGACUCUAAAGAGGUGGUUCUGUUGUCAGGGCCAACAGUGGAAGCCCUGCAUGCACAGGCAGGAGUGCGGUGCUGUGUCCACACACAGGCGCAGGGCGUAAUAUUCUUACCUUCCCAACACAUGCACACCAUUCCGUGAAGCAUUUUCCUGUGCAUGCAUUCAUACCAUAUCCAGAAAGGCACUUUGCUCAUGGGAGUCUCUUCAUGCAGAAGGAAGGGGAAUGAACGGGAUUAAAUGUGCAAAACUUGGAGAGAGACUUAAUUCUACUCCAAAUGAACUUGGAAUGAAUGCUCCCAUAGCUUUCAAGUUGCUUUCUGAGAUUAUCUGAAUCUCAGCCCAAACUGAUAGGGCUUCUGAAAUUGCAUGUACGCUUACUAUUGAGAAUAAUAAUUAAAAACAGCCACCACCUUGUUCUUCAGGUCUUAUAUAUAUAGGCUUGCCCUGGAAUGAAGAUCAAUCAAAACCCCAUCUCUCUGUGCCAGUUCUUCAUGUCCUGGAAGUGAACAGGGGAAACAGUGUCUUUUCUGUGGUGGUGCCACAACUCUGGAACACUUUCCUUGUGAAACUCUAUCAAGCUUUUUGUGUCUCAGUCACCACUGUUAUUUCAAUGACCUCUUAAUGUACAACAUAUUCUUUCUGCUGUAAUUCAUUUAAAGUGUUGGUUUUCUCAUAUAGGGCUUGCUAUAUAUAUAUGUGUGUGUGUGUGUGUGUGUGUGUGUGUGUGGCGGCACUCUUAGUGCAGUGGGCACUUUCCUGGUGUGGGGGUCCUGAAAAAUGCCCAGCCUUGCCACCCUCUGGAGCUGGUCUUGAUAUUAUAUGCUCUUCCUUGUAAAAACUGGCUGUUUGUUGCACUUUUAUAGUAAUGCUGUAUGCAUCAUCACAUUUAGUAGAGGAGCAGAUAUAAAUAGGCUAUUUUAGGUAACAUGCUCAGUUUCUGAAGGUGCACAAUGUUGAAUUAAUGCCUAGUUGAAUUAAUACUGUUGGUUUGCAUUGGUCUGGUGGUGACUUUCAUUCUUUUAACUCUCGCUGCCUCAGCUCAGUAACUUGUGAGAAAUGCAAAAAAUGAGCAUACAACCCUUUUGAAGUACAAUAAGAGUCCGAACAAAAACUUUAUUUUAAUAAACGUGAUUGUUUCAGGUGAGGUAGUGCACUCGAGGUUUUCAGAAAAAGAAGAACUUCAGC